GACCACUUGUCCUAGCGGUAUGGCACCCGAAAAAUUACGUAGGAAGUUUUGGUUUCGUUGCUGGUGAGGUGGGUUCGAUUCCCGCAGUGGUCA